AGCUUUGCGCAGUGGCAGUAUCGUAGCCAAUGAGGUUUAUCCGAGGCGCGAUUAUUGCUAAUUGAAAACUUAAAAUGUUCAAAUUUUUACUUCUUAUAAUAAUAAAUUAGUUAUAUUCUUCAAAAAAAUUUAAAAAUU